UACGUAGGGGGCUAGCGUUGUCCGGAAUCAUUGGGCGUAAAGCGCGUGUAGGCGGUCCGGUAAGUCCGCUGUGAAAGUCGGGGGCUCAACCCUCGGAUGCCGGUGGAUACUGGCGGGCUGGAGUAUGGCAGAGGGGGGUGGAAUUCCGCGUGUAGCAGUGAAAUGCGUAGAGAUGCGGAGGAACACCGAUGGCGAAGGCAGCCCCCUGGGCCAAUACUGACGCUCAGGCACGAAAGCGUGGGGAGCAAACAGG
rnacentral:rRNA from 1 species